AUUGAACGCUGGCGGCAUGCCUUACACAUGCAAGUCGAACGGUAACAGGUCUUCGGAUGCUGACGAGUGGCGAACGGGUGAGUAAUACAUCGGAACGUGCCCGAGAGUGGGGGAUAACGAGGCGAAAGCUUUGCUAAUACCGCAUACGAUCUCAGGAUGAAAGCAGGGGACCGCAAGGCCUUGCGCUCACGGAGCGGCCGAUGGCAGAUUAGGUAGUCGGUGGGAUAAAAGCUUACCAAGGCGACGAUCUGUAGCUGGUCUGAGAGGACGACCAGCCACAGUGGGACUGAGACACGGCCCAGACUCCUACGGGAGGCAGCAGUGGGGAAUUUUGGACAAUGGGCGCAAGCCUGAUCCAGCCAUGCCGCGUGCAGGAUGAAGGCCUUCGGGUUGUAAACUGCUUUUGUACGGAGCGAAAAGACUCCUUCUAAUAAAGGGGGUCCAUGACGGUACCGUAAGAAUAAGCACCGGCUAACUACGUGCCAGCCGCCGCCGUAAGAC
rnacentral:rRNA from 1 species